UUCGCAAUGCCCGAAAGGGUGACGAAGCGACGCCGCGUGGGUGAGGAAGGCCUUCGGGUUGUAAAGCCCUGUCAGGAGUUAAGAAAUGUAGAUUCGCUAAUAUCGGGUCUAUUUGACGAAGGCUCCAAAGGAAGCCACGGCUAACUCUGUGCCAGCAGCCGCGGUAAUACAGAGGUGGCAAGCGUUGUUCGGAAUUAUUGGGCGUAAAGAGCACGUAGGUGGAUUUGUAAGUCAGAUGUGAAAGCCUUCUGUUCAACGGGAGAAUUGCAUCUGAAACUACAGACCUUGAGUACAGGAGGGGAGAAUGGAACUUCUGGUGGAGCGGUGAAAUGCGUAGAUAUCAGAAGGAACGCCGGCGGCGAAAGCGAUUCUCUGGCCUAUUACUGACACUCAGUGUGCGAAAGCUAGGGGAGCAAACGGGAUUAGAUACCCCGGUAGUCCUAGCCGUAAACGAUGGGCACUAAGUAGAGGGGUUUU
rnacentral:rRNA from 1 species